rnacentral:rRNA from 1 species
CCUACGGGAGGCAGCAGUGAGGAAUAUUGGUCAAUGGACGAGAGUCUGAACCAGCCAAGUAGCGUGAAGGAUGACUGCUCUACGGGUUGUAAACUUCUUUUAUAUGGGAAUAAAAUGUUUCACGUGUGGGAUUUUGUAUGUACCAUAUGAAUAAGGAUCGGCUAACUCCGUGCCAGCAGCCGCGGUAAUACGGAGGAUCCGAGCGUUAUCCGGAUUUAUUGGGUUUAAAGGGUGCGUAGGUGGAUUGUUAAGUCAGUGGUGAAAGUUUGCGGCUCAACCGUAAAAUUGCAGUUGAAACUGGGAGUCUUGAGUACAGUAGAGGUAGGCGGAAUUCGUGGUGUAGCGGUGAAAUGCUUAGAUAUCACGAAGAACUCCGAUUGCGAAGGCAGCUCACUGGACUGCAACUGACACUGAUGCUCGAAAGUGUGGGUAUCAAACAGGAUUAGAUACCCGUGUAGUC